UACGGGGGGGGCAAGCGGUUGUUCGGAAUUACUGGGCGUAAAGGGCUCGUAGGCGGCCAACUAAGUCAGACGUGAAAUCCCUCGGCUUAACCGGGGACUGCGUCUGAUACUGGAUGGCUUGAGUUCGGGAGAGGGAUGCGGAAUUCCAGGUGUAGCGGUGAAAUGCGUAGAUAUCUGGAGGAACACCGGUGGCGAAGGCGGCAUCCUG
rnacentral:rRNA from 1 species